GGAAAAUAGAAAAUACUCGUCUUCGAGAAGUCAAGAGACCUUGGACAUUUAGACACCUAAAGAAGAAAAGAUAGCUAUCCAGAAAGACUCAUCAAGCAAAGAAAAAUCUUUGCAGGGAUCCCCUAAAGAUACCAUUGCCUCCAGAUAGCAGGAAGUAAAUGUAAGAAUAUGACAUCCAUAUUCCCAAGAGUAGAGCCGAUGGGUUGCGGUACACACCUUUAAUGUCAGUACUUGGGAGUCAGAGGAAGUAAAUUUCUGUGAGUUCGAGGUCAUCCUGGUCUACAAAGUGAGUUCCAAGAAAAUCAGAGCUGUUGUUACACAGAGAAACCCUGUCUUGGAAACAAAACAAAACCCAACCAACCAACCAAAUCAAAAAGAUAAAAGGUGAGCCUGGACACAGAGGAAGAGCCCAUCUCACAAACAAAGAAGCAGAGAGGGAAACGUGUGGGAAAAUGUGGCUAACAGGGAAAUAAAUAUGAUCAAAGUUCACCAUAUGCAAGGAAAAAGAUGUAAUGAAUU